rnacentral:lncRNA from 1 species
UUAGGAACUGUUCCAGAAGGAUUUGAUGGCUAUUUUAGGAGGCGGUUUCCACAACUACUAAUUGAAGUGUAUAAAGUGAUGUCAGAAUACUGUAAAGAUGAGGCCUGUUUUCAGAAGUACUUCACAAGCAGUGUACUUUAGGCUCCUCCAGAUAGCAGCUGUAUCUUGUUCCGUUCUUACAUUAUAUGCAUGAUGUAACAUGUAUUGUAUAUUGUAAUCUACACCAUGUAAAUAUGCCUGUGCCGGGCAGGUACCAGAAAGCUGUACGGACACCACUGUUGUUGGAAACAAAAAUAAUGUAAAUAUGAAAUCAAAUUGUGUAAUCUUAUUUAAGUAUGUUUACUAACAUUUCUCUCUUUUUAUUUUAAAUGCUCAAAUAUGUUUCUUAUUCGAGCUGAAAGGGCUUGUAGUACGCAUGCAUAUUGAUUAGCAGGAUAUUCUAAUGCUAGAGAUUUUUUAAUUUUAUUUUUUCAAAAAUAGGCUUAAAUGGAACGACACAGACAGUUGCAGAUUCAUAUAUUCAACUCCAACUAUUUCGAGAUUGAGUCAUAGUAGUAGUUGCUGUAAGGUUCUUGAAUUGUAUGACAUAAUUUGUAAGUUUCUUGGAUUGUAUGACAUAAUGUCAAUGGCACCAGAACUUUAUAAAAUUUGAUACAGUUACAGCAUCGUCUACACAAAUAUGCAGUCAACCUUUAUAAUUACAUUUGAGGAAGAAUGGUAGAUUUUUGUUUAUGAACUAUACAGAUUCUCCAAAACCUACAACCCUGUUUGAGUAUAUCUCAGAACGGUCAUUCCUUGAACCGUUUACUGAUGCAUCUUGAUCAAUACUUCUUACUGAAGUCACCUCUAGUUGCCUUUGUUUGGAUCGAGACCUCACUGACUCGUCCUUUUCAUCAGCAAAAGAAAGGAAUGUUUGCAGUCGUCCUGAUCGUGAGCUUUCAUUAGCUACCUCAGAAUUGGGAUGGUAUUGGCAAUAUUGACAUGCUAGCAUCACAAAAUAAAUGAGCACAGCCAGAAAACAUGCCAACCCACAUAGAAAGAAUAGACCUGAGAAGCUUUUCAGCUUAAGCCUGUCCACUUCAAGCUUUGUAUUCUGUGAAGUGCAAGCUAUUCCAGAAAGCCAUUUAUCAUGGAUCCUUUGAAGUUCCCCAUUCUCUGAUAGUUUCAAAAUUGCUGUUGACAUGUCUACUGCUAGAGGAGAAUCCCUAGGGAAAGCCUAUGAGGGAAAAAAGUAGAAAAGAAAUCAGCACUAGUCACAAAAAAGCAAAGUCAGGAAAGGACAUUAUUCUCAAAACAUCGACAGGUCUGGCUUAAAUCCUUCAAAACAAAAUGGUCUUAUAUUGAUUAGUUUGAUGGCAUAGGAUGAAAGGAAAGGUAGUUAUAAACAUAGCCAAACCAAAUACACCAACUUAGUACUUUUAUUCUUUACUUUAAACGUUCUCACCAAUCGACCCCCUACAUUUUGAGGUACCAUAAGGCAAAUUUUGUGUGAAGCAAGCACCAUGUUAUGUCAAGAGUGUUAAUGAUCUCCAAAAUUUUCAGGUGUCCUUCCAUACAUCGAGCUAACAGUAGUAUGAUUUAUCUUCAGAAGACAUGUUUCAAGCAAAAAUUUUCCUUAUAACUAAGGAACAAUGGAGAAAACCAUGCAUUAGUAAAAAAUUAAACUUUCUUGGCAUAUUUGCAUGUAUUAGAUGUAAAUACUUCUGAUGCGUUAUCAAUUUCUUGGCAUAUUUGCAUGUAUGGUCAAUUCAUCACGGUGUGAGACAAAUUCAAUAAAGGCAGGUUCACAUGUAUAAGAAAGGUGAAGUUGACAAAGACAUGUAAAAGCAAUAAGGUGAAGUUGACAGAGAGCUACUUACAAACCCCCAUCCAUUUUUUGUGAAUUCUUGACCCCGAAUACUGAAGUGGCAAUGCGUUGAGAGGAAAAGCUCCAUAUAUGCACGCUCAUCUACCACUGCUGCAACACCACCACGGCUAGGACCAUCAUUUAAAGCUUUAGCAUAAUCUUCAGGGAGGUUAAGAGGAACAAGUCUAGAUUCAUCAAUGUGAAGUUCUUGAACCAGAUAGUUACGGGCAAAUGAACCCAACUGAUAACCAAUGGGUUGCUUUGUAUUUACUAAACUUUCAAUUCCGGUAAUUGGGGAAGAAAGUUUCUGCACUGUAAGAAUUGAGGUGAGACUGGCAGUAUAGCUUGAGUUUAUUAUCAAAACCACAAAUAGCCAUAUAAGAAGGACAAUACGACCAAAGGUGCUGACAGUGUUUUCUCCUGCAUACAAAAGUGUUUUUUUUGGUUAUAGAAGCUCAUUCAAAGGGUAGUACAGAAGUAACUCAACCAGCAUAGGUUACUUACUCUGGGCAGUAAAGAGAGUUGAAAAGCUGAACCUGCAAAAGAGUUUUACAUAGGAAAGGGUCAAGAGUUUGAUAUUCUACAAAGUGAAUUUGGCAAGUGGAAACUAGAAGGUGUGGGAGAAAGUCAAGGAAGAGCGAACAAUAUAUGACAUACUCUUUCAUCAGGUAAAUAAAUGGUAAUUUAGUAGUUAUGUUUUGCCAACUCACCAUAAAACAGUGACAAUCUGUUUACUCGGAGGUCCACGAAAUUCAUCAUUCAAUCUGUGUUCCAAAAUCCAAAUUACAGUGCCCACAAUUAAGAAAAAAACACCAGUGACACACCACAUCCUAGGAGUAAAUGGACUGAGAAAAGCCCAAGCAUUAGAAUUCUGCUCCUUAACUGGUGCCACUACAACUAACCCAGAUUCAAUGUACGGUUGAGUGAAAUCAACCAUUUUUGUUCGAUUAGUUGUAAUUGCUAUGUCACCUAUGGCUGCAUCAUAAACCUGAAAUAAGAGAUCAAGUAGAUACAGUUAGAGAGCACAUUGUUCAAAUGACACUACAAUAGAACCUUGGUAGUCUUAUACUCACUCCUGCUGUGAUUAGGCGUAUUAGCUCUGUAUCAUCUGGAUUGUUAUGACCAUCCCCAAAUGCAACUAGCUUGUAAGGGACAGCAUAAGGCAAUAAGUCUAUGGCAGUAGUGAAAACUUCAAUACAGUAUCCCCUGAAUGUGUCAGCGCCUGGUACCUUUCCAACAAACUCACGAAAGCUAGCUCGGUUAGGAACUCCAAUUUUCAGUUGUCUCCCAUUGUUUGGAAAAACCCAUCCACGAGGUUUUUCCGUUAUUUGUCCAGGCCAGAUUAUACUAUGUAGCUGUUGAUUCGAAGAGGAACGAUUUGCCGGCUUAGAGUACAGUGUUUCAGGAGGCACAAUUGAUAAACCAGAGUAUUCAGACCAAUAACCAACUUUCCUAUAACCUGUACCAACCACAUUAAUGACUUCAAAAGUAGGGCGGAAGAGUUCCUUAUCAGAAGUAAAACUAAAUGGUCCUGUUACACCUGUCAUAUUAACCUUAAAAAUGUUAUCUCGCAAUAACUUCCCUCCAUUAAAGAUGCUCAUAGAAUCAAGAUUCAUACUUCCACUAUCCAGUUCAGUUAGCCUUGGAUCCUUAGAAAAUGAAACAUUUCCACCCUGGUUAAAGAAUUCAUUGAUGGCACGAGCAAGUAGCCACACAGUAUCAUAAGCAUAGAGCGCAUAAGUGGACAUCCCUGAAGGUCCAGUAGCUCCUGCCUUCCUUGUCAACUUGCUCCACUGUGAGACAAACUUCUGUUUCAAUUCUGAGCCUGGAGUGUGUAUACGCAAGGUGAUAGCCCCUUCUAGGUUCUCUUUUUCAUCCGAAGAAAGGGGACCACCAGCAUCAAGGAUAGUUGAGAGCCAAUUUGUAGCAAUCCACACAUAUCCUCUAUCUAUCAUCCCCAAAUACCGGGCCAUAGAGAAUAUCUCCAGACCCUUUGUAGAAUAAGUGUGAACAAUCAUUAUUCGUGACUCUCUCAAAGCAACCUGAACUAAAACAUCCCGGGCAUCAUCCAAUGUUGCUCCAGGUUUCAUAGGUGCUUUGUAAGAGAUCGAACAAUGCUUCUUGGCCAGCUGAUCUGCUAAUGCAGCUAUACCAUUUCUUCCAAAAUCAUCAUCAAUAUAUAUCGCGAUCACUUCUCUCCAUUCAUAGUACUCAACAAUUUGAGCUAUCGCUUCCAUCUGAAACUUAUCACUUGGGGAAGUUCUAACAAAAAACGGGUACUGAAGCGAAGCAAGAGAGGGGUCUGUGGCUGCAAAUGAUAAUAGAGGGACCUGCAGCUCAUUCGCAAUGUUUGAUACCACAUGAGCUAUAACAGAAGAUUGGGGGCCAACAAUUGCCAUAGUAUCCGUCUCCAUGAAACGGAUAGCUGUUAUAAAAAUCAAACAAUUUACAUAAAACUCAAAGAGCAACAAGAAUUAUUGAAAUAAUGAAAAUGCUAUCCACAAAAGCAACAAAAUUACAGAUAUUAGCAAAGGGCUAGCUUACCCUCAACUAUUCCAAGAAAUCCACUGCCAUUACUAUCCAAUGUUAUCAUAUUCAGCUUAGUUCCUCCAAUAACAUCUGGAUUGGAAUUUAUAUCUUCAACGGCAGCUUCCGCAGCGAUUUUAGUAAUUUUCCCAACCAGUGUACUGAAAGACAGCAUACACCCAAUGUUCACAACUUUAGGCCUUGCAGAAAGAGUUGAAUUAACACCCUCUGAAGAAUACCCAUUGUAGAGAACUAUCAAAAUCAAUGUCCAAAAUAGUCUCAUAGUUAACUUGGGUACAAAAUGUGCAAUCUUGACACUGCUAGGCACAGAUAUGAAAAUUUACAUUAACAGAAAGUAUACAUAGUAAGCAGUAACAUCAAGAAUUCAAAAAUCAUAAUAGUUCAGUCAAACCAUAUUACAAAAAAGGGGGGAAAAGGAAGAAAGGGGUAGCCUCAAUUUCACACUAGAAGGACAUGGACAGUAAUUUUCCCAUCCAGAGUGUGAAAUGAGCCAUAUUUCAUUAAAAGAUAAUGGAGCGGACAAAAAGAAUAUUAAAAAUCUGAAAAGAGCAGAACAAAAUCUUGAGAAAAUAUGGAUGAGUAUUGGAUAGGGACAAGAAAUUUACUUACAGAACAUCAAACCGCCAUGACAAAGGGGGGAAAUAAAGAACAAGAAGCAGAAGGAAAAGGAAAAAAAGUUGUAGUUUUCUUUAUUGGGGUAUCUGCUUCUGCUCUUCCCCACUAAAAAAGCAUAAAGGGUAAAGCAAAUAAGUGCAAAUAUUGAAAUCUUGAGUUUCAGCAAGAAAAAAAAAGAACUUUUCUACUUUUAUGAAUUCAAAAUUCAUAUAUUUAAUGAACUGAGCUACUCGAUUUUCUGAAUUUGCUAUUUUUGGUUGGAACUAAGGGCCUGUUUGGAAGGACAUUCUGGUAAUUGGAUUUGGUAUAAUUGGUGUAAUUACACUAUCUUGUCUUGUUUGGGAGGACAUGUAAUUGGUGUAAUUGGCAAGGGUAAUUACACUCUACAAUUCACAGAAGAUGUGAAUUGCUAGUAAUUACACCAUGUAAUUACCACUUGAUUACUUUUUAAUUUCUUUUUUUAUUUCUAUUUAAAUUUUUUUUCCUUCUAUUAUUUUAAGUUCUUUUUUUUAAUUUCAUUAUUCUAAAAAAUUUUAAAAGUUUAUUUUUUAUUUUUUAUUAUUAUAUUUCAUUUUCUUCUUAUUCUCAACCUUACUUUACGUGAUUCUAUGUAAUUUUUUCGUAUUAUCUAUUUCUUUAUGCCAUGCUUAUUUUCUCAUUAGUAUAAUUUUAUUAUAUUCUAAUUUUUAAAUUAAAAUAGAAUUUAUUGUUAAGUAAGGUUAUAGACUUACAUUUUCUUUAUUAAGAAAAACUAAAACUAAAUCAUAUUUAUUGCUAUGUUGAAAUUUGUUAUAAGAGUAUUAUGUUAAAAUUUUUGUUUUGAAUUUAUAACUUAUGUUAUAUUUUCAGUUUCAUUUGUUUUAGUAAUAUUGAAUUUACAUUGCACGUCAUUUUUUAAUUAGACUUGAUAGAUUAUAUUUUUGUCCAUAAUAUUAGUUACAGAAAAUAUGUUUAUUAAUUAAUAUAUUUUCAAAAAGAAUAUAUAUCUUAAAUAUUUAAUUUAAUGUCAUUUAUAAAGUUUCUUAUUUGUCUAGUAUAAAUUUUAAAUAAUUAAUUUUUAUUUUUAAAAUUUAUUAUAAUUUUAUGAUUGUAAUUGUGCAUCCAAACAGAACAUGUGUAAUACACUGUGGCAUCCAAACAUGACAUGUGUAAUUAUAGUGUAAUUACAUUGUGGCAACCAAACAGGUCAAUGUAAUUACUAGACAGUGUAAUUACUAGGCUGGUAAUUACUACCCUAGUAAUUACACUAAUUCCAAUUAUCAGGUGACCUUCCAAACAGACCCUAAAAGAUGAUUGAAUAGUGAACCCACUCAGGUAUCAUUGCCAAGAAAAUAGGACAAAAAAAGUGUUGUUUCUGUAGCACAAAUACCAAUCAAGAGUUGUAGUGCAGUGAUAAGUACUUUUUCCUUCAGAAUUUUUAGAUUUGAGAAUUCUUGAGUAUAAAACCGUCUUUGUUAAGAAACAUUUUACCUCAUAAUAUGAGACUUCCCAACAUAAAUUCGAAUUUAGUUGAGCUAAAUAUAAACACGGAAGACUGAAUGAAAAAAAAUUGUAGCAAAAACACAUGAAAAAUGUGCGUCUUGUGUAUAUUAAAGAAUACGUGUGACAGUAGAUAAAGGUAUAAAAUGUUCACUUUCUUCCAACUUCCAUUAUUAUAUUAUACUCCCUCCGUCUCAUUUUAUGUCCACCAUUUCCUUUUUGGUCAGUCCCAAAAAGAAUGUUACAUUUUCUUAUAUGGUAAGUAUUUAAAGGUAUAAUUCCUCUUUUACCCUUGUUGGUCCUACUUAAUCUUAUAGAUAGUACUCCAAUAUAUUUAUGAGGAGAGAGCAAAGUGAGUCUACUUUUUAAUAUGACUAUUUUUUGAAGGAGCAAUUUGAUAAACAUUUCAAAGUCUUCAUUUAUUUCUUAAAUUUCGUGCCCGAUCAAAUAUUGCCACAUAAAAUGAGACGGAGGGAGUAUAUAAUUUGGACUUGCCCACUAAGCUAUGUGCCCAAAAGGAAGUUAGAAACAUCCUUAAUGACUCAUCAUUCUUAUUGAAGUAUAACUAUUUUCGGAUUAUUUUGGGAUUCUAAAAAAAUAAAUAUGUGUUUGUUAUAAGCUUGUCAAUCAAUUUUAAAUGAUUUUUCUUACUAUUGUAAGGCAUAAUUAAUAUCGCGGUUGUAUAAUUGUUCCCAAACUACUUACUAUACUAUAGUUGGGAACUUAGUAAUGUGGAUCCUCGUGUCAUGGAACAUAACCUCCACACUUUUGAUCGAGUUUGAUGAAAUAAGAUUGAAUAUCCCAACAAAUUUCUCUAUCAGUCUGUCGAGAUACUAUGACUGAUAUUUUUAUGUAGUAUUGUUUGCUCAAAAUAUCAAAUGCAAUUUUAUUCAAAGUUUAUCAAUUUUAAAAUCAAUCAUUCUUUCUUUUUGACCAACCUUCAUAUGUUCAUCGCUAACAAUAAUUAGAAUAUUGAUAAACAAAAAAAGUUAGUAGAGAAAAAGGAACUUGUCUUAGACUUAUGUGGCUUAGGUCAACACCUGAGGUCCCCAUGCAUUGGCUAAUGGCUCGAUUUGGAAUAUGUUGUCGGUACGUAUGUAUGCAUCAAAUCAUAUAAAUUUGUUAAUUCUUAUAAUUAAUUUUAUAAAAUAAAUAUAUGUAAUAAUUAAUCACUGUCAAAUAAUUGAGAUAAAUUUUCAUGAAAAUGGGCCACACCUUCAUCUUAUUUUAUAUGUGUUGGUUUUUUCUGUACUUGGACAGUUUGAAUAUAUCCAACACAAUUUUUCCUUAAAUUAUCACAAGUGAUCAUCGUGCCCACUACAUGGACAUUUCUUUUUGUUCAGAUGGGGGUUUAACAUUAAAUAACUCAAUUAUUCUUAUUUUUAUCGGUACGUAUUUGAUGUCAUUUUAAUUUUUUAAGUGAUUAUUUAAUUAAUAAUUAUAUUUAAAAAAAAUUCUUUAUCAAUAAAAUAAAAUAAAAUCUAUAAAUUUUAAAUGAUAAACAUUAAUUGAGUGAUGAUAUUAUAAAUCAAUUUCUUUUCGCCUUGCAUUGAAUUUUUUGAUUAGGAGUAAAAAAAAACAACAACUUUCACAUAUAUCAAACAUAAAAAUCAUAUUUGUAUGUUAUAGCUAUAGUUUGUAUAAUUGUGCUUCAUAUCAAAUUUUAUGUUUGCUAUGAAGCUUUUGAUUUGUAUAAUUCGCUAGAUACAUCAAAUUUUAUACAAAUUGUUCAGUUUUGUAUAAAUUCAUUUAUACAUUGUAAUUUGUAUAAUAAGAUCUGUAUUUGUAUAAUUAUAAGUGUAUAAGACGAAAAUAUAUGUAUUUGUAUUUGUAUAUACACUUUUCUCUCGCUUUAUACAAACACAAACGCAUUUUAUACAUUUUAUACCGAAAUGUAUAAAAUGACUAAUUGUAUAUCGAAAAUGGCUAAUUGUAUACCAAAUCAGAUUGGGGAAAAAUGAGAUGUUUGCUACGAAUUACAAAUAAAAUAAACUAUGGCUAUAACAUUCAAUUUGAAUUAAUAGUUUGUUAUUUCAUACAAUUUUUCCUAAAAAAAUAAACCAACAAUUGUCAUAUCUACGUCAAGUAUCAUUCUUUUUGGGAAAAGGUCAAAAGUGUACUAUUACCUACUCCAUUGAGAUAGUUUUUUUUUUAUAAAAAAAUUAUUGUUCAAUUAAUUCGAAUUAAUUUGAAUUCGUAUUGGAUAUAGGCCCAUUCUCAGGGUAGCGCUUCCUAUCAAAUAUUUUCUCAUACGCAUAAUUUGAAUCCAAAACCUAUUAUUAAAGGAAAAGAAGCCUUGAAACCACAUCCUUGGGUAAUCGUUGAGAUAGAUGGGCUACAAAUGUUCUGCAUAAUAUGAGGUUUUUACUCCCUCCGUCUCAUUUUAUGUGACACCAUUUUCUUUUUGGUCAAUUCCAAAAAGAACGUCACAUUUCCUCAUAUGGUAAGAAUUUAAAGGUACAAUUCCUCUUUUUCCCUUGUUGUUCCCACUUAAUCUUAAAGAUAAUAUUCCAAUAUAUUUAUGAGGAGAGAGAAAAGUGAGUCUACUUUUUAAAGGGCAAUUUGGUAAACAUUUCAAAGUCUUCAUUUAUUUCUUAAACUCCGUGCCCGGUCAAAUGUUGCCACAUAAAAUGGGACGGAAGGAAUAAUAUUUUCCAUUAGAAUUUCUUUAACCAUUAAUCUUUACCACUUGUAUUAAUUAAUUUAAUAUAAACCUGCUAUUUAUAAUAAAUUAAUUAAUAAAUGCAUAACAUGUGCAAUUUAUAUAUAACUUAAUUAUAAAUAAUUAGUAUAUUUGUAUUCUAAUUGAUUAUUUAACUACGAUUACUAUAUACAAAUUAGGAGGCGGUUUCCACAACUACUAAUUGAAGUGUAUAAAGUGAUGUCAGAAUACUGUAAAGAUGAGGCCUGUUUUCAGAAGUACUUCACAAGCAGUGUACUUUAGGCUCCUCCAGAUAGCAGCUGUAUCUUGUUCCGUUCUUACAUUAUAUGCAUGAUGUAACAUGUAUUGUAUAUUGUAAUCUACACCAUGUAAAUAUGCCUGCGCCGGGCAGGUACCAGAAAGCUGUACGGACACCACUGUUGUUGGAAACAAAAAUAAUGUAAAUAUGAAAUCAAAUUGUGUAAUCUUAUUAAAGUA